AUUGAACGCUGGCGGCAGGCUUAACACAUGCAAGUCGAGCGAGCGGCGGACGGGUGAGUAAUGUCUGGGAAACUGCCUGAUGGAGGGGGAUAACUACUGGAAACGGUAGCUAAUACCGCAUACCCUCAGAUGUGCCCAGAUGGGAUUAGCUAGUGGGGGGGGUAAAGGCUCCCCUAGGCGACGAUCCCUAGCUGGUCUGAGAGGAUGACCGGCCACACUUGAACUGAGAAACGGUCCAGACGCCUACGGGAGGCAGCAGUGGGGAAUAUUGGACAAUGGGCGCAAGCCUGAUGCAGCCAUGCCGCGUGUGUGAAGAAGGCCUUCGGGUUGUAAAGCACUUUCAGCGAGGAGGCGUUACUCGCAGAAGAAGCACCGGCUAACUCCGUGCCAGCAGGCGCGGUAAUAC
rnacentral:rRNA from 1 species